rnacentral:misc_RNA from 1 species
CCCACCCCCCCCUUCCGCGAGACCGAGAGAGAGAGAGAGAAAGAGAGAGAGAGAGAGGGGGAAGGAAGGAGGGAGGAAAAGGCGGGGGGGGGCAGGCCAGCCCCCGCGUCGUCCGAAGCCGAAGCUGCGCAGCGGUCCCGGCUCCUUGCCCGCGGCGUCGCGGGAAGGGCCGGCCGCCGGGGUCGGCCGUCGCCGCGGGGCGUCCCGCCUCUCUCCCCCGCCGCGCGGCGGGCGGAGGCGGGUUAGCCCCGCGCCUGCGCGGCGCCGUUCCCCGCCCCAGGCGCCGCCGGGCCGCCACGUCGCCGGCCGCCGCCGCCGCCGCCGGCGCCCGUCGCCGCCACGCCGCCGCCGCCGGCGCGCCCGUGAUGCCGCUCCCGCGGGUCGGAGCGGUGAAAAGAGCCGGGGCGGUCAGGGGUUGGCGGGGGCGGUCCCGCCGGCGGCGGGUCCGGGCGUCCGCGCGCUGGCGCGCCUCGCCGCGGCGCCGCCGUGGGUGGCGGC